GACGAACCGUGCGAACGUUAUUCGGAAUCACUGGGCUUAAAGCGCGUGUAGGCGGGCGGGAACGUCGGUCGCUGAAAUCCCCCGGCUCAACCGGGGAAGUGGUGCCGAAACGACCCGCCUGGAGGGACGUAGGGGGAGCUGGAACUUCCGGUGGAGCGGUGAAAUGCGUUGAGAUCGGAAGGAACGCCCGUGGCGAAAGCGAGCUCCUGGACGUCUGCUGACGCUGAGACGCGAAAGCCAGGGUAGCGAACGGG
rnacentral:rRNA from 1 species